GAUUCACAGAUUAAUCUCUUGAGGUCCUGGAUGCCUCAUCCCUUAGUUUCAACACCAGAUUGAAAUGGUUUGCCAUCUGCUUCGUAUGUGGCGUUUUCUUUUCUAUUCUUGGAACUGGAUUGCUGUGGCUUCCGGGCGGCAUAAAGCUUUUUGCAGUGUUUUAUACCCUCGGCAAUCUUGCUGCGUUAGCCAGUACAUGCUUUUUAAUGGGACCUGUGAAGCAACUGAAGAAAAUGUUUGAAGCAACAAGAUUGCUUGCAACAAUUGUUAUGCUUUUGUGUUUCAUAUUUACCCUGUGUGCUGCUCUUUGGUGGCAUAAGAAGGGACUGGCUGUGUUAUUCUGCAUAUUGCAGUUCUUGUCAAUGACCUGUUCCCAGAUGAUGCUCUCACUGCUGGUCGGGGUCACACUUUGAGAACCACUGUACAGUCUCAUGCUGCUGUAUUUAUUAUAAGGUUAGACAUGGCCUUUUGGCAUAAAGGAAAACCAUCAUUCAGAUGAAGAUUCAACAUGCUUGAAUAUUUCUUGCAGGUAUAGCCUGUCGUACAUCCCAUAUGCAAGGGAUGCAGUUAUUAAAUGCUGUUCUUCUCUCCUAAGUUGAAAAUCAGAAACUUGUGGAAAAGAGCACUUGAAUGUUGGUACUCUAUGUUUGGUGAAGUUUGCUUUUCCCCAUAAAACACUCCAGGAACAACUGACGUGACAGUUGAAGACCGUUUUGUACUAAGUCUCAUUUUGUAUACUGGUAAAAACUACAUGCUUGAUUAAACCAUUAAAUGCUUGUAACUUUAAA
rnacentral:lncRNA from 1 species